GACGAACGCUGGCGGCGUGCCUAAUACAUGCAAGUCGAGCGCAGGAAGCCGUCUGAACCCUUCGGGGGGACGACGGUGGAAUGAGCGGCGGACGGGUGAGUAACACGUAAAGAACCUGCCCAUAGGUCUGGGAUAACCACGAGAAAUCGGGGCUAAUACCGGAUGUGUCAUCGGACCGCAUGGGCCGCUGAUGAAAGGCGCUUCGGCGUCGCCCAUGGAUGGCUUUGCGGUGCAUUAGCUAGUUGGUGGGGUAACGGCCCACCAAGGCGACGAUGCAUAGCCGACCUGAGAGGGUGAUCGGCCACACUGGGACUGAGACACGGCCCAGACUCAUACGGGAGGCAGCAGUAGGGAAUCUUCCACAAUGGACGAAAGUCUGAUGGAGCAACGCCGCGUGAACGAUGAAGGCUUUCGGGUCGUAAAGUUCUGUUGUAAGGGAAGAACAAGUGCCGCAGGCAAUGGCGGCACCUUGACGGUACCUUGCGAGAAAGCCACGGCUAACUACGUGCCAGCCGCCGCGGUAACAC
rnacentral:rRNA from 1 species